UUGGUCAUUUAGAGGAAGUAAAAGUCGUAACAAGGUUUCCGUAGGUGAACCUGCGGAAGGAUCAUUAGAGAUUUUCCUUUUUAUUUAUUUAACUAGUGGUUGGGCUGUGCCCAACCAACAGUAAAGCAUAGCCCAACCACUAGCAAAGAAAGAUUUAACAGUUACAACAAACAAAAACACACAAGCACCUUGCCGCAAUGGAUCUCUCGGCUCUUGCAUCGAAGAAGAACGCAGUCCAUUGCGAAAAGUCAUGCGACCUGCACUCUUUGAGAAGCAUUACUCUUUGAACGCACCUUGCGCGCACUAGUCUUCUAGUGCGAGGUCCUGUUUGAGCAUCACACACACUUGCACUUGGCGGCUUUGUUGAUCAAGGCAGCUUAAACGCAUGGGGCCCGAACGACUCUAGGGCGAGCGAGACGGCAGCGCGACAAGCAUCACUGCGUCUCGCCAACCCCCAAGCAAGCAAAGUGUCAAUUUCACGAUGGACACCUUGCAUUGCCGGUGCAACACCGGCACCAGUAAAAAUCUCAAAUCAGGAUAGAGGACCCGCUGAACUUAAGCAUAUCAAUAAGCGGAGGA
rnacentral:rRNA from 1 species